rnacentral:rRNA from 1 species
UACGAAGGGGGCUAGCGUUGUUCGGAAUCACUGGGCGUAAAGGGCGCGUAGGCGGCUUUGUAAGUCGGGGGUGAAAGCCUGUGGCUCAACCACGGAAUUGCCUUCGAUACUGCGAGGCUUGAGACCGGAAGAGGUUAGUGGAACUGCGAGUGUAGAGGUGAAAUUCGUAGAUAUUCGCAAGAACACCAGUGGCGAAGGCGGCUGACUGGUCCGGAUCUGACGCUGAGGCGCGAAAGCGUGGGGAGCAAACAGG